rnacentral:rRNA from 1 species
UACGUAGGGGGCAAGCGUUGUCCGGAUUCAUUGGGCGUAAAGAGCUCGUAGGCGGCUUGGCAAGUCGGGUGUGAAACCUCCAGGCUCAACCUGGAGACGCCACCCGAUACUGCCAUGGCUAGAGUCCGGUAGGGGACCACGGAAUUCCUGGUGUAGCGGUGAAAUGCGCAGAUAUCAGGAGGAACACCGGUGGCGAAGGCGGCAUCCUGGACCGGCAUUGACGCUGAGGCGCGAAAGCUAGGGGAGCAAACGGG